GACGAACGCUGGCGGCGUGCCUAAUACAUGCAAGUAGAACGCUGAAGGAGGAGCUUGCUUCUCUGGAUGAGUUGCGAACGGGUGAGUAACGCGUAGGUAACCUGCCUGUUAGCGUGGGAUAACUAUUGGAAACGAUAGCUAAUACCGCAUAAGAGUAGAUGUUGCAUGACAUUUGCUUGAAAGGUGCAAUUGCAUCACUACCAGAUGGACCUGCGUUGUAUUAGCUAGUUGGUGGGGUAACGGCUUACCAAGGCGACGAUACAUCGCCGACCGGAGAGGGUGAGCGGCCACACUGGGACGGUGACCGGGCCCAGAGUGCUAGGGGAAGGAGCAGUAGGGCAUCUUCGGCAAGGGGUGGAAGACUGAGCGAGACACGCCGAGGGAGUGAAGAAGGUUGUCGGAUCGGAAAGCUCUGUUGUAAGAGAAGAAAGAGUGUGCGAGUGGAAAGUUCACACUGUGACGGUAUCUUACCAGAAAGGGACGGCUAACUACGUG
rnacentral:rRNA from 1 species